rnacentral:lncRNA from 10 species
AAAAAAAAAAUUAGCCUGCUGGCAUGGUGGCAUGUGCCUGUAGUCCCAGCUGCUCAGGAGGCUGAGGCAGGAGAAUUACUUCAAUCCAGGAGGUGGAGGUUGCAGUGAGCCGAGAUCGUGCCACUGCACUCCAGCCUGGUGACAGAGCAAGAUUCUGUCUCAAAAACAAAAACAAAAACAAACAAACAAAAAACGAGCACAGUAUAGUAUAUGAACAUCAUGACAAAAGUUCAGAGUGCUUUGAGAGUCUAUGGGGGCGGAGAAAAACUUUAAUGAAAUCAAAUGAUAUGUUAGGCAGGCUGAAAGGACUGUGAACCAGGAAGGGGAAGUGCCAUGAGAAAACCUGGAAAAAGCGAAGCUAGAAGUUAUAGUGAAGGAAAAGUGGCAAGAUGUGUGGUUAGAAAGAUGACAAAACCCUCAGUCUGUGCCAGAGUUUGGACUUUAUACCAAGGACAAUAGGAAACCUUUGAAAGAUUGUAAGUAGAGAAGGGACAUGAUUACUUUUGCAUUUCAAAACACUCUUGCUGGAGUGGGGAAGAGGAUUUGGAAGGGAACAGGCCAAGAGGCUACUGCAGUUAUGCUGUGGCCUAAUGGGGAGGUGGUGAAGCACCUAGGGCCUAGCUGACCUGGGGAGACAUUUAGUAAGAAUCAAUAGGACUUAGUGAAUAACUGACCAUGACAGUGAAAGACAGGAGGUGUCAAGAUUGACAGACUGCCAGGCUUGGAGCCCCAUAUCUUUAUUUUUAUAGAAUACAAAUAACUUCAAAUCAGUGAUCACUAAAAUUUAACCUGAUACCUAAAAGAGUUCUCUUGAUAAAAUCUUAUAUAGUUCCCUUUUAGUCAGCAAAGACAAAUAGUUUAGAUAGAUCAUCAAAAUUUUACAUUGAAUAGAUUUUUCUUAUUAUGUAUUUUAGUAUACAUUAACAAAACUAUGGGAUUUGGUCUCUGAAACUGAAGCUAUUGAGGAGAGCAAUAUUGAGCAAAGAGAAAUGAAAUUUUAUAAAUCCACUUUUUCUGAUUAUCUGUGUAAGAACAAGAUAUUUUCAACUGACCAUUAUUUGAACAAUAAUUUACCCACUCUGUCUCUGAACUUUAAUAAAAAGAUAUAACUCUUGAAAGAUAAACUGGCUACUUGGGUCUGGGGCAACAAUUUUUUGUUAAAACUCUUAGCAAACUCUUCUCAAAAUUAAUUAAUAUUUGCAUGUAUAUAGUACAACCUAAAAGAGCACCUCUCAUAUUAGUAGCUCAAUAAAUGCUAGCUGAAUCUGAAGUAAAUUGCUAGAGAAUGCUAUGUUUUGGUUCAUAACGAUACAGCACUUAAUGCCAAUUUUAAGUUAGGUAUAAAAGAGUGUUCAUACGGUAAGCAUUAGCCUUAAAAAUUAAUCAUGGACUUUAUUAUUUACCCAAUGUCUGUGUAUUCAUUUCUGCUUUCACUAGUCAGAACACAUGGAUCCAGCAUUAGACAUGGAUCCCAGUCACAGUUUUACCAUUAGGCCAUUAUUAGCUCUGCAGUCUUGAACGAGACUUAACUAGCAAUGUAGUCAGAAUUUCUUCAUUUGUAAAAUACCAUGACUUCCUUACAGAGUUAUUGUGAAGAUCAAGUAAGAUAAUAUAUAUGAAAAGAUAAAACCCAAUAUAAAUAGAAGAUUAGCUUACUUCAUGACUGGCCUCUAAAUAAAUGUUUUGAUUAGAUAUGCCUUCUCUACAAAAGCUGGUUUGAAAGCUCAUAUUGAUUUGAAAUACAAGUGCUUUGAAAAAGUUUUUAUAUUUGUUAAUAUAUUUACACUACUAAAACAGAUCUGCACAAUAUGUGGUAUAACAGUUUUUGCAAGUGUACCAAGAAAUGACUGAACAUACACCAAAAUAAAUAAAUGAAAUAAGCUUAGCUUAUGAAGUAUUUAUAAUAAUAAAUGUUCUCAUUUCAGAGAAGAAAUUAACCAUUAUGUUUAUUAAACAUGAUGAUAAAAUUAUAAUCUUAUUUUUGUACAUGGAUUGCGUUAUUAUAUAAUUUUUUUUAUUCUCCUUGGCAAUCUAUUACUGUGGUUUAGAGUAUAGAGUAAGGCUCUCAGUAAAACUAAAAGGCCACAAACAUAAUUAUUGAAAACUCGGGAUGCCAUUACAUACCUAUCAGAAUGGGUAAAAUAAAACAACAGUGACACCAAAUACUGACAGGGAUGUAGAGUGACUGGAACAAACAUAUAUUACUACUGGGAAUAUAAAAUAGCAUGGCUACUCUGGAAAAUAGUUUGAGGUUUCUCAUAUUUUUAUAUACAAUCUAUUAAUUGUAUUCUCGGCCAUUUAUUCCUCAGUUAUGAAAACUUACAUUUACACAAAACCCUUUGUACUAAAGUUCACAGCAACUUUAUUUGUAAUAGUCAGAAACUGAAAUCAGCCCCAAUAUUCUUUAACAGGUGAAUGGUUUAAUAAACAGUGGUGCAUACACACUUCAGAAAACUCAGCAUAAAAAAGGAAUGUGUUGUUACACAUAUAACCUGGAAUGAAACUCCAGAGGCUUUAUGCUGAGUGAAAAAAAGUCAAUCUCAAAGAUUCCAUACUUUAUUAUCUAUUUAUAUAAAAUGUUUUAUAUGAUAAAAUUUCAGAAAUGGAGGACAGAUUAGUGAUUGCCACAGGUUAGGGAUUGGGCGGGCUUUGGAGGAAUGUGGAUGUGGUUAUAAAAGGUGAAUAAAUCGAUCCUUUCAGUAUCCUGACGGUGGUGGUGAACACAAGAGCCUACCCAGGUGAUAAAACCAUGUAGAACUUAUACACACACGAGUUCAAAGAAAACUUGAGAAACCUGAAUAAGACCAGUAGAUGGUGUCAAUGUCAACUUUUUGAUUAUAAUAUUAUACUAUAGUUUUGUAAAAUGUGACUACUGUGUUAACUGAGCAAAAUGUACAAGGGCUUCUGUGUAUUAUUUAUUACAACUGCAUGUGAAUCUGCAAUUAUCUCUUAAAAUGUUCAAUUAAAAGUCAGUAAUUUGCAUAAGUGGUAUUAAAAAAACAACUGCAUGUGUAUAAAUACAGGGGUUUGUAAAUUAAUAAACUCUAAAGCCUUAUUUUUGUUUUAUUUUGUACAAAAAGAAAUAAAAACAUUUUUAUAUAGUUUUAUCAAUAAAUAUCAUACCAAAAAUAAUUAAUGAAACACAGCUCAUUAGUUUUUCUUCAUGAUAUAUUUUGUUUCAUUCAACUUUUACGUGAUACCAGCAUAUGUACUUUGUUAUAAUUGUUUCCCAUAUGCAAAUAAAUGUCAGGGUUGGAAGACCUGUUGUUUAUUCAGUUCAGAAAUAAGACUAAUUAUAUCUACUAAUUAGUCAUUUAUUGGCUUUGUAAAACAAUUAUUUUAUAAACAGUUAUAAUUAAAUUAUCUCAAGAAAUUCAAAUUUCAAAACAGAACAUUGGUGAACUUGGUUUUUAUUACUGUAGUUAGUAAAACAGAUCAAAUAGAUUUUGCGAAGGCCUUAGAAAGUUCAAAAAAAAUUGUUAAAUGUACUUCUUUUCUCCUAGGUUUCAUUUCUCUGGCUGCAAAAAGUAAAUAUUUUAAUGAAAGUGUCCUGCUUGGAUCCUCGGAAAUUUUGGGAGAUUUCUCGAUUUAAAAGCAAAUGCAGCUACUACGAAAAGCAGUAUAAGGUUCUUCAAACAAUUAAAAAUAGAACUACAUACCAGCAGUCUCACUGCUGCAUAUCAAUCCAAAAGAAUUAUAAUCAGAAUCUCAGAGAGAUAUUUGUACUCCCAUAUUCAUUGUAGCACUAUUUACAAUAUCCAAGAUAUGAAAACAACCUAAAUAUACGUUGCCAAGUAAAAUGUGUCAUAUACAUAAACUGGAAUAUUAUUCAACCUUAAAAAAGAAGUAAAUCCUGCAAUAUGUGACAAGAAUGAACAUUGAGGACAUUAUACCAAGUUAAAUAAGCCAGUCAUAGAAAAACAAAUACUGCGUGGGACAAUUUAUAUGAGAUACUAAAGUAAUGAAAUUCAUAGAAGCACAGAGUAGAAUGGUGACUGCCAGGGACUAGGGGCUUGGGGAAAUGGGAAGUUGCUAAUCGACAGGUACAAAGUUUCAUUUAUGGAAGAUGAAUAAAUUCUAAAGUUAAUAAUAAUGUAUUAUGCACUUAAAAACCUCUUGAGGAUACAUCUCAUGUUGUGUUCUUACUACAAUAAAAUAAAAUAAACCAAAUUUUAACUUGAGUUCUCUCUCACAUCUUCUUUAGGCAGGCCUGCUAGCCAUAACUUCUCUGAUACUUGCUCCUGACAUCUUCCUGAAGUUUAAGAAGGCAGGUAAAGGCAUUGUAGACUGAACGUUUCAGAUGGCUUCAAACUACUUAAUAAGAGCCAUCAUUUUUAAGUAACCCCCUAAAUAACAGGUUUUAGAGUCUGAUUAGUUGAGAUGCAAAGUUUAUUCACACGAGCCAUGAGGGAAGAGAGAAAAGCAGAAUCCUAAAGUGGAAGUGAAAACUAUAAUACACCCUCAGUUCCAGCAGAAGCUCAAAGAUAGUAAAUCUUGCCACAAGUCAAUGGCCAAGUCAAGACUAGAAUUACUUUCUCAAGUCAUCCUUUUUCCUCCUCUUUCUUCAAUACUCAAUAAACUACUUAUUUUUCAAAACUUAGAUCAAAUUCUGUUAAUCCCACCUGGACCCCAGGCAGAAGUAAUCACUCUUCCCGUUGUUCCCACAGUGUCCCUCAUUAUUGAUUCACUCAUUUAUCCAUCUGUUCUUUGAUUCAACAAAUAUUUUUGAGCAAUGACUAUGUGCCCAACACCUAGUGCCAAGAAAAAAACCUCUGUCCUUAUGACACUGGUAGUAGUAAAAGGGAAAACAGAUAAUAAGUUUUUAAAAAGUAAAAUACAGAACAUGUGAGUUAUGGCAUGUUAGAGGAUGACAAGUAAAAGAAAAUCAGCAGGGCAAACAGCUGGAAAGUGUGCAUUUGUUGUAGGGGGAUUUUUUUAACUUUUAUUUUAGGUUCAGGGGUACAUGUGAAGGUUUGUUACAUAAGUCAACUCGUGUCACAGAGGUUUGCAGUACAGAUUAUUUCAGCACCCAGGUGUUAAGCCCAGUACCUAAUAGUUAUCUUUUCUACUCCUCUCCCUCCUCCCACUCUCCACUCUCAAGUAGUCCCCAGUAUCUCUUGUUCCCCUUCUUUGUGCUCACGAGUUCUCAUCAUUUAGCUCCCACUUAUAAGUGAAAACAUGUGGUAUUUGGCUUUCUGUUCCUACAUUAGUUUGCUAAGUAUAAUAGCCUCCAGCUCCAUCCAUGUCCCCACAAAAUACAUGAUCUCAUUCUUUUUUAUGGCUGCAUAAUAUUCCUUGGUAUAUAUGUACCACAUUUUCUUUAUCCAGUCUAUCAUUAAUUGGCAUUUAGGUUGAUUCCAUGUCUUUGCAAAGUAUGCAUCUGACAAAGGUUAAAUAUCCAGCAUCCGUAAGGAACUUAAAUUUACAAGGGAAAAACAAAUCCAUUAAAAAUUGGGCAAAGGACAUGAACAGACACUUUUCAAAAGAAGACAUACAUGCGGCCAACAAGCAUAUGAAAAAAAAUUUGAUAUCACUUAUUAUCAGAGAAAUGCAAAUCAAACCACAAUGAGAUACCAUCUCACACCAGUCAGAAUGGCUGUUAUUAAAAAGUAAAAAUAACAGAGGCCGGUGAGGUUGCAGAGAAAAGGGAACACUUAUAUACCGUUAGCAGGUGUGUAAACUAGUUCAACUAUGUGGAAAGCAGUACAGUGAUUCCUCAGAGAACUAAAGGCAGAACUACCAUUGGACUCAGCAAUCCCAUUACUGGGUAUAUACUCAGAGGAAUUUAAAUCAUUCUACCAUAAAGACACAUGCACACGAAUGUUCAUGGCAGCUUUGUGCAUUUGGAGAUGAAUACAGUUCUAAAUAGGACAGCCUGGAAAGGCCUCAGUAGAAAGAAUAACACUUCAUAAAAGAUCUGAAAGAGGUGAGGAUAUAUUUUCACAAUUAAUCAUGCACAUCUGUUUCCCUUAGAUCUUCAAAGUUACGAACAUACUUCAAUUAUUUUUGUAUGCUGGCUCCUAGGGAGCAGCCACACUUAGUAAGUACAUAAUGUUGGAUGAAAUAUCUCAGGUUUCUGAACUUAAAUUUCAGUUGUCUUUCAACUACACAAGGCUUUGUACUUCAGAAAAUUGAUGAAUUUGAAUACAACACUGAUGUAAAUCAACAGCACAACUAGAACUUCUACACUCUCGCUGCUCAACAACUUAAUUUAAUAGGGGUAUGAUUUUCUAAAUGUUGUAGCCCAACACAUGCAGGAAACAUGAAGAAAACUGAAUCCUAAGAAUAUCGAGGGACAAGCCCAAAACCAUACACAGUGUGAACUAAUAAACCUCCUAAACCUACAUUUCACAACAUGAAAAAUAAUGAAGUGCUAAGUAAUACAUUUGAUCAAUUUUUGUCUCUAUUUCUGAUUUUAUUCCCAUAGUAUGGCCAAUUUUAUAUUCAGCACUACUACCAUCACCAAUAGGAGCCUGAGAAGUUUCAUGCACGUUGUACCUGUGUACCUGUGACUAUAGGCUAAGUUUAAGACAUGUGUGCCUCCAAAUACCUGCCAGCAGUGAUACCUUAUGUCCUAGUACAUCGAAAUACAAAGAAGAACUCCUUGAGAGUCUAAAGGAGACUACAAAAAUCGGUUCACUUUGGACAGAUAAUAUGACCACAGAUCUAGAACUAGUAUGACCACUCAGUCUGGGAUGAUGAAAUGGCCAAUUUCUUGGUAUAAAAUGAGAACAGCACACAUGGCUGAAAGCCAUAUUAGAGGCAAAAUUACUACUACUUAUGUGCUGUUACAAAUUGCAGAUAAAAGAUGAUUACACAUAUUAUAGUUAUCUAGUUUUCAUUAUAAGGACUAAAUGAUUUAAGAUUACAGAAAAGCCAGACUGAAUGAAGAGUAAAGGACGGGUACAUUAAUGAAACAUUCGCCUUUGUUGCUCACUGUUAAAAACCUCUCAGAGACUCAUCGUUGACUGGGAACUGACUCUGGUUGUCAUUUGGGAUAAUGUAUUUGUGAGUCAAUAGAUUAAUGGUUCAAAAAUACCAAUACUUGCAUUAUGAGUCCUUCAGUGAUUCUCCAUUACCAUCAAGAAAAAGCCCAAACCCCUUAGUACAAGAUACAAAUGUCUUCAUGAGGUGACUCUCCUCUUCCUCUCCACACAUUCCACACCCUUCCAUUCUUAGGUCUCUGAACAUGCCAUGCUUUCAACACCUACUUCAGUCUCUUUGCACAUACUCUUCUCUCUGCACAAAUCCUUUCUCCCUCACCUCCCAACAGGGUGAAUUCCCUUAAAAUAGCUUAAGUGUUAUCUUCAUUUGGAAGCCUUUCCCGAACCCCACUGCCCAUAUUCCCUAUGUUAGGUAUCUCUUCCCCUUCUAAAUAUGACUGUUAAGCUUAUCACACAAUAUUAAAAGAUUAUAUACAUAACAUAUAUUAUAUAUAAAUAUACAUUAUCUAUAUGAUAUAACACAUAUAAAUACAUAUAUGUAUGUAUGUUGCCUUCACUGGAUCAAAACUUCUGAGCAAGUUUUAUUCAUGCUUUAAUAAGCAAUACUAUAGAAUUGAAUACCUGAAAGUAAAAAUAAAAUAGUGGUAACUAAUAUUUAUUGAGUGCUUAAUAACUGUCAGACACCCUUCUGAGGCUUUAAUUCAUUUAUUGUCAUAACAAUCUAAUCAAUACAUAACUAACAUUAUUCCUAUUUUACAGAUAAAGAAACUGAGGCGGGGUACGUUUAGUAAACCGUCUAAGGUUACAAAGCUAGUAAAUGACAAAGCCAGGGUUUGAUCCCAAGCACUCUGACUUCAAAAUGCAUGUUCUUCACCACUGUACUACAGCUACUUCAUAUGUAUAUAUAUGUAUUUAAGUGUUUUUAAGUAAAUAAGUAGGCAUAUAUAUAAAAUUCAAGAGUAUGUGUAAUAUAUAUAUGUAUAUAUGCAUUUACUUGGGUAUAUACAUGAAAAACAUUGGCUUUUAAGAAUGAACUCUAAACAGCAGUACAAAGUUACUUCAAUGAAUUAGAAGUUUUGACAAAAGACCAUCUGCUGUCCUAGAAAUUGUCUUCUUUUCCACUGACAUAUUAUACUAUUCUAGUUAAUAAUUUAUAAAACAUAAUAUCAAUGCACAUAGACUUUAAAUGCAUUAAGUAGAUAUGCUUUGUAUUGAGAAUAUGCACUUAUUAUGUACUACUAGGUAGCUUAGUAAAAAUUUGAAAAUUUAGGUAUAAGGUAAUCAUUACAAGAUUAGUUCUGCAAAGUACUUUCGCAUGUAUAGACAAUUACUGAAUAAGUGUUUUAUUCAGGAGAAUAAAAAUCUAUAUUUAUAAAUAUAUUAAAAUAUUUGUUUCUCAGUAACAUUUUAUUUUUAUUUAUUUUUAUUUAUUUAUUUUUAAGUUCUGAGGUACAUGUGCAAGAUGUGCAGGUUUGUUACAUAGGUAAAUGUGUGCCAUGGUGGUUUGCUGCACCUAUCAAACCAUCACCUAGGUAUUAAGCCCAGCAUGCAUUAGCUCUUUUCUCUAAUGCUCUCCCCUAUCCCCACCCUCCCCCAAUAGGUCCCAGUGUGUGUUGUUCCCCUCCCUGUGUCCAUGUGUUCUCAUUGUUCAGCUCCCACUUAUAAGCGAGAACAUGCGGUGUUUGGUUUUCUGUUCCUACGUUAAGUUUCCUGAGGAUAAUGGCUAUUAUUUUAUACUCCAAAAUUUUAAAUUCAACAUUUGUAAUACAAUGGGUUCCCAAACAUUGCCAUAUACUGGAAUCACCUGAGGAUCUUUUAAAAAUCCUGAUUCCUGAGGCCAGGCAUGGGGCCACAUGCCUGUAGUCGCAGCUACUUGGGAGGCUGAGUCAGGAGUAUCCCUUGAGCCCAGGAGUUCAAAGCUGUAGUGAACUAUGAUCGCACCUGUGAAUAGCCACUGCACUCUAGCCUGGACGAUACAGUGAGACUUCAUCUCUUACAAAAAAGAAAAUACUGAUGCUGACACCACCACCGCCCUCUUAACCAGACAUUCUGAUUUAAUUAAUGAUGGGCUGAGUCAUGAAUAUUAGGAUUUUUUCAAAGCUUCCCAGAUGAUUCCAGUAUGCAGCACAGAUUGGGAACCAGAAUUUUACUAAACUUUCCCUAAAUUCACUCUGAAGUUUACAGGAAUUUCUUCUAUUAUGACAUUUAAAAGCAAUCCUGACAAAAACAUUAUUUCAAGUGAUCAGCAGCAGCAAUGCCAGAAAUCCACAUGUAGUUUCUCAUAUCAGCUAUAUCACCUGGCUACUACAUUCUUCAAAUAGAAUUCCUUUCCUCUUGGCUAAUUCUCUUUACAGAUAAUACAAAUCAUUUCUUUACUAAAUCAUUUAUUCAAGAACACAGACAAAUUCACAACCUAAUCACCAAACUUAAUUAGGCAGAAUUUUACUUCAUUUUAAUUAAGUAUCCAUUUUCAUGUGCUUGAAACAGAAAUGAAUAUAGCUUGGACAGGGAACAGGUUAUUUAUAAAAAGGGAGAUUUAAAUGAGGGUAAAAAUACAUGGAAAGACACACCUUGCACACCCUUCUCUACCUACUUGUCCAUUUUAAUCCCUGUUUAUAAUCUUAGGUAUCGGCUCAAUUUAAAAGCAGUAAAUAAGUAAUACUAAUGUUUAUGCUGAUGUGGAGAUAUGGAGAUGUGGAGAUUUUAUAUGAGAAGUCUUCAAUGUUUUAAAGUCCUUGAGAUUUGUGGGUUAUUUUUUAUUGCAGUGUAAUCUACCCAAUCUUUAAAUUCUAUAUGUAAGUAUGAUUGUAUAUGUAAAUAUAAUAUCUAUUUCAGAAAAAAUACAUCACAUGUGUAAGUGAAUUUUUUAGAUUAAGAAUUGGCAUGUCCUACUUUAUUCAAAGUGCAUGUUCUUUACAAUGUUUGUAAAACUAUAUGCAAGGUAAAACAGUGAUGUCUGGUCUAUCUAUAAUGCAUGAUGAUCAAAGAGUUUUGUUUAUCACAUACUCAUGCUGAGAAUUCAUUAAGCACUUUCACUAUUAAAUUUGCAGAAUGAGUUGUUGUCUCCACUUUACUGACACCAUGAGUCACAUUCAUCAGUCUCCAACAGGAUGAUAAAAGACUGAAUGAUUCAAUGAAAAUGUUGAUCAUUAUGGUUCAGUUAUAACAAAUGUGUGACUAAAUCUGUACUCUCAUAAUACAUCACAUCAAACAGAAAUUUUAUACAGCUAUACAAUGUAAUCACCAAAAGACUAUAUUGGGAUGACUUUUUAUUAAGAAAUGUAUGAUACCUGUUACUGUCAUUUAUGGUGACAACUCUGUAAUGUAUUUAUUGCUAUGUUUAUUUGUGUUAGUGUGAGUUAGAGAGUAAAGAACAAUAGUAAACAUAUUCUAGUGCACAAAAUAAUAUAAGUGAAAUUUCAUUACGUACAAAUCAUCACAAAUAAGUUGUUUUAUUUUUGUAAAGAAACUAUCAUUCUGAAGACAAAUUUAAGCUAAAAUAUAUGGAACAUAUGUAUGUAUAAAUAUGGAUUUCUUUUCAGGAAAUCAUACGUUUUAGUGUCUCAUUUAAGUUUUCUGUGUAGUUUGGAAAAUCCUGAACGGCAUUAAAUAUUUGUUUUUAAAUUAUGCAUAAGGUUUAUCUACAGCAUGAAAUGCAUGUGUGUUCUCACUGAAUAAUAUUCUCCUCUCAUUUUCUCAUCUAAGUCUAAGACUAACUUAAGGCAACAAUUUUGUGAAUGUUUUUCAAAUAAUAAAACAGUGGUAUAUAUUCGCUUAAAAACAAAAACAUGAAAUAUAAAUAUGUAUUAUAAAUAGUUAUAUUACUUCCCCCUUCAUACUUGUUUCAUUUAAGAUUAUUUAAAAUGCUGGUGAAUUAAACUGCUUUUGUAUUGACUAUUCACCAUGUAAGACUCUAACAUGUACACAAACACACACAUCUAUUUUUAUGUACACAUAUUCAGAUAGUUUCUCAAAGAUUAUUUACUGUUAAUUUGUAGCCUCAAAAUAAUGAACUACAGCUACACUUUUUGAUAUAUGACUUUUUAAAAACUAGGUAAGCAAAAGGUUUACAAUUCUAUUUACACAAUUUAUAUUUAGAUAAAUUAAAACAUUUCAGUCUUAAAGGUAUAAUGUUAAAAAAUUAAUUUUAAGUAAAAUGGCUUAAACUAUUUCAUUGUAGUAAAAUAAACACAGCUCAAGUUGAAGUAAUACAAUGUCUAAAUAACUAGAAAACAAACAAAAAUAUCAUUAUUUAUAUUUUAAAAAUAAAUUAAUUGAUCAGAUAUGGAGAAUUCUGCACUUAUACCUACUCUGUUGGUUUCAAAGUUACAUUUUUCAGUGCCAUAACCACGAAACAGGCUACAAGCAGUCCUUAAAUGCCUCUUAUCAACUUCAGCUACAUCAUCUUAAUAACUUUUUUCUACCCAGAGACCUCCUAUAAGUUUUAGAAAUUCCCAUUAUAUUUGUAAAACCUAACCUAAAGUUAGAAAAAAUAUUUUAACAUAUAAGGAGACUACAUCAAAAUAAUCAAUACACGUAGAUAAAUAUUUAUGGUGAUAUCUAUUCUGAUGAACAAACACUGCUACCAGGAAGGGGAUGUGACAGCUUUUCUCCCUCCCUAGAAUAUGCGUCUACCUCUUCUCCCUCAGCUUGCCAAUGCCAAUUUUUAAAAUCCUCUGAUUUUGGAUCAUAGAGGAAUAGAAAAGUUACUUGAUUGGUGAGGAUCUCGUGUUGGAGCUCUCAGAACUAAACACUUGUUUAAAGUGAUUCUUCUCCCCUAGGUAGUUUUGUGAUCUCUGUGGGGAAGUCAACAGUCUCUCUCUCCCUUGCACCUUUGGUUGAGAUAUUUCUUCCUGAAGUUCCCCUGACAAGGGUGAAUGCAGCAGUCUUACUUAGUCCCUAAUUAUAGUAUCUGCUAUACUAUACUAUACUAUGCUAUACUAUAUUAUAAAGUCACUUAGACCCUCCAGACCAUCCUCUUAGACAGGACCCAAGAUAACACCAUGCCAGUUCCUUCCUGUAGCCCACAUCUGGUCUAUGGGAAAGACUUCUUCUUCUUCUUAGAUCAACUCUGGGAGUUCAACACAGUUUUUCUCCAAAAUAAAGGCAAUUAGUUAGCUUCUUUCUCACAUAUCAGUCCACCAUAUCCUGCAAACCCUCUCUUUAAUUUUCUUAAAGACAUACUCAUGGAAAGAAUCAUGCCCACACCCAUUCCCUUCUUGAGGGUGUGAGAAUAGAAAUCAAAGCUUACAAGAAUCUCACUUCAUAAAUCUUAAAUCUCCCCCUCCAUUUUGGUAAAGUAUUUACCAACUUUGGUAAACUAUUUUGUUCUCUCUGUGAUAUGGUUUGGAUCUGUGUCCCCACCAAAUCUCAUGUUGAAAGGUAAUUUCCUGUGUUGGAGGUGGGGCCUGAUGGCAGGUGUUUGGAUAAGGACGGUGUUUCCCUCAUGAAUGGCUUAAUGCCCUCCCUUUGGUAAUGAGUGAGUUCUCUCAAGAUCCUAAAGUAUGUGGUACCUCCCCACGACUCCUUCUCUUUUGCUCCUGCUCUGGCCAUAUGACGUGCCUAUUCCUGCUUCACCCUCCGCCAUGAGUAAAAGCUCCCUGAGGCCUCUCCAGAAGCUGAGCAGAUGCCAGUGCUAUGCUUAUACAGCCUGCAGAACUGUGAACCAAUUAAACCUCUUUUCUUUAUAAAUUUCCCAGUCUCAGGUAUUCCUUCACAGUAACUCAAGAACAGCCUAACACCAACAUAUCUUGGUUUGUUAUUUCAAGUCAAGCAUGAUAGCCUUGUACCUUGGAAUGAAUUUCCUGUUGUCUUUAGAUCUCAGCUGAGACUUCCAUUCUAAAUUACUCAAUUAUAUAUAAAAUUUGAAGUGAGGACACUCUUGUCUCACAAAGUAGAUUAAAUGCAUUUGUGUACAAUGUUAGCAUAUUUAAAAACAAAUUAUAACAUAUUCAUUCACUAAUUACCCAAGUUUGCUAAUCUACAUCAGCCUGAUGAACAGAAUAAUUCCCUCUGUAUUGGUUUGUGAUAUGUAGAGUAUUUUUUUUCUUUUUGUUUUUUUUGUUUGUUUGUUUUUUUGAGACAGAGUCUCGUUCUGUCACCCAGACUGGAGUGCAGUGGUGCGAUCUCGGCUCACUGCAACCUCUGCCUCCUAGGAUCACGCAAUUCUCCUGCCUCAGCCUCCUGAGUAGCUGGGAUUACAGGCACACACCACCAUGCGUGGCUAAUUUUUUUUUUUUUUUUUUUUUUUUUGUAUUUUUCGUAGAGACGGGGUUUCACUAUGUUGGCCAGACUGGUCUCGAACUCCUGACCUCGUGAUCCGCCCGACUCGGCCUCCCAAAGUGCUGGGAUUACAGGCACGAGCCACCCCGCCCAGCCUAUGUAGAGUAUUUUUACAGUGCUUUACUGUAGGCAAAGUCCUUGUACUUCUACUCUCUUAUUUACUUGUGAGUGAUUUCAAAUCAGUGAAAAAGCUAAAUAGCCACAUAUACACCUGGCUAUAUCAUUAAAAUAACACAGAAUGUUAAAAUUUCUCCUCUGUUAUAUUUCAUUUAUUUAAUUGGAUAAGCCAUUUUUAACCAAGUUUAAUUUAAUUAUGGUGAUCAUAAUUAAUAGUGAUUGGAAGAAUACAACUGUAAAACAGUUCUAUGGUUUGUAUACCUUAUUUGUCUUAUAUGUGUUAAUAGAAAACAUCUCAGUAAUUUCAAAACUAGUAAUACGAUAUGGGAACAGUAUGUUAUAGCAGAAAGGGCCCUGGGCUUGAAAUCAUUAUUCAGUUCAUGUUUGUAUUCCUACUUCUCUUAUAAUUUGGACUAUUUAAUAGGUAUUAUCAAAAUUAUUUUAAAAAGUAUUUAUUUUUAUAUGACAUGUACACACACAUGUGCAUUAUAAAAAGCCACACAAUACUUCAAUUAUCUUCCACUGAUGAUAUAUUAUCUAUAGUGAUUGUUACAGAAAAAUAAAUCUUCAAAAUGAUAAAACAAGAGUACAGCCUACUCAAGUCAUAGCUAUAGAAAUCAGGUAUAUUUACUUAAUCUUCAGAUUCUCAGUUUUAUUCAUCUGUGAAAUAGUGAUAAAAUGCUGGUUUACAACUUUCCAGAGUUAUUGGGAUCUCAUGAGUUGACAGUAAAUUGCCCCAUUAAGUGGUACAUAUAUAAAGUGGUUAUACUGAACUCUUAAACAUGCACACAUGCACACAAACAAAAAUAUUCAAAAACAACUUUGCAUAUCUCAUGGGAAUUCAUCUCUGAAAAUACCUGACUGCUAUUAAAAAUCUUUUAAAUUUCAAUAGUUACAUGCCUUACCACUAAAUAGCACCACUUAGAGUACUUUAUAUAGAGGAAUGUUUUGUAAAACUUCUCAAUUGGCAGAUUCAUUGCUCUAUUAGUGAAAGGCUACAAAAUUUAUGUUUUCAUUCUAUAUUCUUUUAACUAAGGACUUUUAAAAAUCAAAAUGAUUUAAUAUUUGCAAUUUAGCAGCCUGAAUGCCUUUAGUCGGAAGAGGUGUCUUGCGUACCAGAAGUUCAUCUACAAUUUGAAAGGUGAUCUUUCUCUAAGAAUUCUGAAAUGCUGUAAUAACUUUAUAUGGCUCUGAACUGUUUCAUUCUAAAAUCUCAGGGCUUUUCUAAUGUGACAGGCUUAACGAAAUUCCAAGGCUCCAAUCUUAGUAUUUUAAGCUAAAUUGAUAAAUUGGACCCUUAACUUUAAAAUUUCUAAUCCUAAUAAAAAUAUGAGGUUUAGCAAUUCCUUCCUGGUCCUGCAAUAUGCAGAAAUUAUAAAUGAGUACAGACUUUCUUUAUUUCCUAGCUUUCUUUCUGUUUCAUAUGAAUCUAAACUAGAAAGCAUAUUGAAUCGAUUUAAACUGGAACCCACAGAAAGAAGCUGGCUAAAGACAUGGAGGCUAACUCACAGUCUGUGACCAGACUGGUUUGUCUAAUGAUGUAGUUGUUGUCACAAUAAAUGGCUACACGCACAGAUUUCUGUCUGGUUAGACAUUUGGCUUGAAAUAAACAUUCAGAGAAUUGAAUCCAGACAUCGACUUUAAGGCCAAAAGUUGCCUUAAACUCUGCCAACCUGAUGCUAAUUCAACUAGGAGUAACAUGCUUUUUUGUUUGUAACAAAUGAGUCCUUGAAUCUAUUAAACUGAAACUGAUGAUGAUUUCAGAAACAUGUUUGAUGAGGUCAUAAUCUCAUUGCAGUAGGUCUGGAACCUAAUUUUCUUGUCAAACGUCACUUACGUACUUUGGUAUCCUAGAAGUGAAAGGAAUGAUCCAAGAACUGGGAAAGGAAAUACUUUGGGUCUGUAAUUUGAUUUAUAAAAAAGGCCUGUUUAACCACUUACUUUGUGAAUGCCUGUUUUACAAGUUUAGAGAUUAUUCCUUGUCUGAAAUUAGCUCUACUCCACCAUCCUAAAGCCUUAAGAAAAGCAGAUACUAUUAGAUUAGAUACUUAGAAAAGAAAAUACUAUUAAUGAAAAAUAGUAGUGUAACUAAAAAUAAUUUAAAUAGGGCUCUGUUUGUGUGUGUCACUUAUUUUGGCAUGCUGUAUACCUGUAUUUGCAGAUCUUUUAUUCAAUACAGUUAAAGGAAAUAGCAUUUAGAAAUCAUUGGAAAAUAUUAGUAAAUAAAGAACGUGACACAUAAAGUUCUUUGGAUGGAAGAAAAAUAUGCUAAACAAGAGACUUUUCCAAAUUACUUGAAGACUAAAAGGACAUAUAUGUAUAACCAAGAAUAAAUGUAUUUAUUUAGAAGACAUUGAUAUACUAUAAUAUUUUAUGACAAAAUAAAGAGAAAAUACUGAGUUAAAUAUGAAAAUGAGUGUCUAGUUAAAUAUCACCACAAUAUUUUCUUAACUGAGUUUCUAAUGCUAUUUAUAAUUCUCCUCUUUAAAAUAAUUUACAAAGUGCUAGUUUUCUGUGUUGAUAUCCAAAUGUGGAAUGACUUUUUAUUUGGAACAUCCAACGAAUAGAAAGUUUUAUUUUUCCAUUCAAAUUAUGAUAUCAUUCAUGGGUCCAGGGCAAGCUACAAAAUUUGUGGAACUGAGUGCAAAAUAAAAACAUGAAGCCCCUUAUUUCUUGAACUAAGAAUUUCAAGACAGCAGCAACAAAGCACGAAUCUCUUCUUAACACAGGGGCCUGUGUAAUUACAUACCCACAAAGCUAGCCAUGAAUGGGACCAUCAACAAAACUUUCUAUUGACUCGCAUUUGUAUUGCUAGUGUGAUUGAAGAGACAUGAGAGGUAGUUACUAAAGCAUCUUUCUGUACAAACUAAAUCAACGGAAAGUUACCCUCCAAAUGAGUCCACCCAUACCUAUUUAUCUGCCAUAUCCAAAUGAACAAGCUGUUGAAAACAUGGCAGCAAGGGCAAAAAGUAGAGGAAUUAAGAUACACAUCAAGCCCUGCAGCUUCCUGCCUUUGAUAGAAAUGUACAAUAGUGUACUGUUUGCAACAUCCUUUCAUUCCUCUGCUAGAGAGUUCUGGCUCACACCCACUGGAGCCUUGUGAAAAGAUGCAACCCGUACUUAGGAAAGGGGUCAGACAUGUUUGUUCAUUUUCAAUAUCUUUUCUUUUUAUAUUAAAAAAAUAGAAUAAAGAUCUAUAAACCUGAAUUAAAACUCUUGAGUUUCAAACUGCCUCGUUCUUAAAUCUUCAACCUCACAUAAUAUAUUCGUAUAAAAUACAAAUAAAGCCCUUAAGACCAUGACAAGAUUAAUUUAACUCAUAUAUAUUAAUUUCAUGAAACACCAAGUUCAACCCUUACAUCAUUAUUAGCACUGCAGUACAUUACUGACAUAUAUAUGUAGUCUGGGGUCACUUCAGAAAUUGGCAAAGGAAAUUACUCCCUUAAUGCAGUCUACAGGCACACCUCAGUAACAAUGACACCUUUAUCUUUCACUUAUUGGCAAGUUUUAUUCAGUGUUUCAAAGCUUGACUAAUCCACAAGAUAACAUCAGCAUAUUUAAAUCCUUAAUCUGAUCAAAUCCAACUUUAUUUGGUAAAUAAGGAUGAUUUUCACUUCCUUUCAUCCAAACUCUCAUGAUAAGGGCUUUGAUAAGAUAGUAUCAUAAAUUACUUUCCUACAGGGAAUAUGUUUCUAAGAAAAAGUAUACUACCUAAAGGAGAGGGAAAAUGGAUUUAUACUUUAAAAGAAAUUUUGAAAAAUUAGCGUUCAAGAUAGAAAGAUCAAGAGAUGGGUUUUAUCUUCCUAAGUUUUGAACUACAUACUAUCAGUCCAAUUUGAAAGCUCAUUUUAGUUUUACCUCGUACAUCAUCAGUUAAAGCAAAUGGUAGAUAAAUAUUUAUUUUGUAAUUUAUUUUAUACUUCUUAGUCAUAAGUAUUUGUGGCAGAUGAAGCAAUAUCUAUCAGUUUCUUAAAAGAAAAACAAGUCAAGAUUGUCCACUUCUUCACUUAUACUGUCUUAAAUUAACAAGAACUAAAUAGUGAUCAGAAAGAGAAAAAGUAACUACACAUUGAGUAUUCCUAAUCCAAAAAUCUAAAAUCUGAAAUGUUACAACAUCCAAAUUUUUUUGAGCGCUGACAUUACACUAAUAACAAAUGCCCAUUAAAGCAUUUCAGUCUUUGGACUUUCAGAUUAGGUAUGGCAAACCACUAAAAUUGUCUACUGACUCAUUUUUACCAAAAAAUCCCAAAUCUAAAACACAUCUUGUCCCAAGCAUUUUGGAUAAGGGAUAUUCAACCUGUAAUGUCAGUCUGAAGCAUAACAAUUAGCUUAUGCAGCCAAGGCUAAGCUAUAUUAGAAUCGUAAUAGUUCUCAAUGAAAACUAUGAGCUCCUCAGUAUCUUUGAAACCUGAUAAACUACUUUAUCAAUUAGUACCUAUGUACUAUAACAGAUCCUUCAUAAGAAAUAAUUUGCUUUAAUGACACAGAAAUAAGUUACACUUUAAAUCAGUAUUCCUUUUCAGCUAACUAUUAAUAUUUGUAUUCUCUCAAUAUUCAUAUACUGAAGCUCUAACUCCCAUGGGAUAGUAUUAAGAGAUGGGGCCUUUUAGAAAUAAUUAGGUUUAGAUGCAGUCAUAAGGGUGAAGCUCUCAUGAUGAAAUUAAUGCCUUUAUAAAAAGAGAAAGAGGCACCAGAGCUUCCCUGUAAGGAUACAACAAAAAGGCAGCCAUCAGCAAGUCAGGAAGAAGGCCCUUACAAAUAACUGAAUCUAUUAACAUCUUGGUCUUGGACUUUCCAGUCUUCUGAACUGUGAGAAAUAACUGUAUUGUUAGCCAUUCGGUCUAUGGUAUUUUGAUACAGCAGCCUGAGCAGACCAAGACAGUACUCCAGAGAAAAUUUAGAAAGUAUGCUGACAAAUUCCCACCAUAUUAAUACUAAGUAAAAAUAUCAAUGGUAUAUGAAGAAAUACU